GACCUGCGGAAGGAUCAUUACCGAGUGAGGGCCCUUUGGGUCCAACCUCCCACCCGUGUUUAUUUACCUCGUUGCUUCGGCGGGCCCGCCUUAACUGGCCGCCGGGGGGCUCACGCCCCCGGGCCCGCGCCCGCCGAAGACACCCCCGAACUCUGCCUGAAGAUUGUCGUCUGAGUGAAAAUAUAAAUUAUUUAAAACUUUCAACAACGGAUCUCUUGGUUCCGGCAUCGAUGAAGAACGCAGCGAAAUGCGAUACGUAAUGUGAAUUGCAAAUUCAGUGAAUCAUCGAGUCUUUGAACGCACAUUGCGCCCCCUGGUAUUCCGGGGGGCAUGCCUGUCCGAGCGUCAUUGCUGCCCUCAAGCCCGGCUUGUGUGUUGGGCCCCGUCCUCCGAUUCCGGGGGACGGGCCCGAAAGGCAGCGGCGGCACCGCGUCCGGUCCUCGAGCGUAUGGGGCUUUGUCACCCGCUCUGUAGGCCCGGCCGGCGCUUGCCGAUCAACCCAAAUUUUUAUCCAGGUUGACCUCGGAUCAGGUAGGGAUACCCGCUGAACUUAAGCAUAUCAAUAA
rnacentral:rRNA from 1 species